AACGAACGCUGGCGGCAGGCCUAACACAUGCAAGUCGAACGCAUCGCAAGAUGAGUGGCGCACGGGUGAGUAACACGUGGGAAUGUAUCCUUUGGUUCGGAAUAACGUCUGGAAACGGACGCUAAUACCGGAUGAGCCCUUAGGGGGAAAGAUUUAUCGCCGAAGGAGCAGCCCGCGUCUGAUUAGGUAGUUGGUGGGGUAAAGGCCUACCAAGCCGACGAUCAGUAGCUGGGCUGAGAUGAUGAUCAGCCACACUGGGACUGAGACACGGCCCAGACUCCUACGGGAGGCAGCAGUGGGGAAUAUUGGACAAUGGGCGCAAGCCUGAUCCAGCCAUGCCGCGUGAGUGAUGAAGGCCUUCGGGUUGUAAAGCUCUUUCGCACACGACGAUGAUGACGGUAGUGUGAGAAGAAGCCCCGGCUAACUUCGUGCCAGCCGCCGCGGUAAAAC
rnacentral:rRNA from 1 species